ensembl:piRNA 21ur-13756 ncRNA
UUUUUUGAGAGCAAGGUUUUU